CAGUUGUGUUUCAUCAAAGUAUUACCAGCCCACCACUCAGUUUCUGUGCCUGGUAAUAACAGUGAGAUGAAGAACAAUGUUUCCACAUUAUGCUGAUAGACUGAAAUCAUCGCAGUUUCUGAAAAUGAGAAAAUGCUCCUUUUGACGAAGAUAUUAAGUAAGAAGCCAAAGAACAUAGUCUGCCUGGAUAAAGUAUGAAGCCAAGGAUUAAUUUAAUAAAUGUGUUAGCAGUCGGUGUAAAAGUACAUACCCAGCACUGUGGAAGCCAAGAGUACAGGAUUUAAAUAGUACAUCUAGAAACUGUAUCUCCUCAGGAAGUCUGAAACUCCUUUUCUGUCAAAACAGUCAUCAAAUACAGAAGCACAAACAUGGCACAUGUCAAUGUCAUCCUUAUUUCUGUCUCUAUUGCUGUCUUCAUGCAAGAUGUAUCAG